UAGGGAAUAUUGGUAAUGUGCGAAAGCGCGAACCAGCAACGCCGCGUGCACGAUGAAGGCCUUCGGGUUGUAAAGUGCUUUUAGAGAGGAUGAGGAAGGACAGUACUUUCUGAAUAAGCCUCGGCUAACUACGUGCCAGCAGCCGCGGUAAAACGUAGGAGGCUAGCGUUAUCCGGAUUUACUGGGCGUAAAGCGCGUGCAGGUGGUUUCGUAAGUUGGAUGUGAAAGCUCCUGGCUUAACUGGGAGAGGUCGUUCAAAACUGCGAGGCUUGAGAGUGGUAGAGGGAGGUGGAAUUCCGGGUGUAGUGGUGAAAUGCGUAGAUAUCCGGAGGAACACCAGUGGCGAAAGCGGCCUCCUGGACCAUUUCUGACACUCAGACGCGAAAGCUAAGGUAGCAAACGGGAUUAGAGACCCCGGUAGUCUUAGCUGUAAACGAUGUGAACUUGGCGUCGGUGGGUUUAAAUCCAUCGGUGCCUGAAAGCCAACGCGAUAAGUUUCACCGCCUGGGGACUACGGCCGCAAGGUUAAAACUCAAAGGAAUUGACGGGGUCAUAGCUGUUUCCU
rnacentral:rRNA from 1 species